rnacentral:lncRNA from 1 species
GGAACCCGGCCCGACCCCGGCGCGCGCGCGGCGGAGGACGAGGAAGAGUUGUGGCGAGGCAGAUCCUGCCCCGUGGCCGCGGCCGUCUCGUGUUGGAGGACAUAAGAUGAGGCUUCCCUUGCUCUUGCUCCUUUGGCUCUGAACCAUCUCCUCAAGGCAGACAGAAAUGGCGGAUUAAACUGUGGGCUUGGGAUAGUUGUGUCCCACCGGCCUUCCGGGUUCCAGCGCCAGGCCUGGUGCCUGCCCCAGGAGGAUGAGCAUUUGCAUUGCCUGCACCUUAUCGUGCCCUUCCACCUGCUGAAGCAGCUGUGCCUGCCGCUCUUGUGAACUGCGAACUUCCCCUUACCUCCUCUCUCUGGCUCGGGAGCUGGCUCGGCCGCCUGUCAGUGCAAUGCUGCCCCAUGUGGUGCUCACCUUCCGGCGCCUGGGCUGCGCCUUGGCGUCCUGCCGGCUGGCGCCUGCGAGACACAGAGGAAG